GACGAACGCUGGCGGCGUGCCUAAUACAUGCAAGUAGAACGCUGAAGGAGGAGCUUGCUUCUCUGGAUGAGUUGCGAACGGGUGAGUAACGCGUAGGUAACCUGCCUGGUAGCGGGGGAUAACUAUUGGAAACGAUAGCUAAUACCGCAUAAUAGUAGAUGUUGCAUGACAUUUACUUAAAAGGUGCAAUUGCAUCACUACCAGAUGGACCUGCGUUGUAUUAGCUAGUUGGUGGGGUAACGGCUCACCAAGGCGACGAUACAUAGCCGACCGGAGAGGGUGAUCGGCCACACUGGGACUGAGACACGGCCCAGACUCCUACGGGAGGCAGCAGUAGGGAAUCUUCGGCAAUGGACGAAAGUCUGACCGAGCAACGCCGCGUGAGUGAAGAAGGUUUUCGGAUCGUAAAGCUCUGUUGUAAGAGAAGAACGAGUGUGAGAGUGGAAAGUUCACACUGUGACGGUAUCUUACCAGAAAGGGACGGCUAACUACGUG
rnacentral:rRNA from 1 species